AUAAAACCGUUGAAAAAGAAGAGUAAGCUUUCCAGGCAAUAUUUCAGAGAGCCGCCGUUGGUGCGAGUGCGGUAUAAAGCUGAUAGCUGAAUGGACUUUUGAGGGCGGCCCCGAACCAUUGUUUUUUGUAGGGGCUGACGGAAACCACAACCGUUAUUUCUCGUGGCAUAUAUGUUAGUAUAUGAAAAGUGGGCUUUUAUAAAGCCAAUUUGAGUGGCACCGCGGAUUGUAUGAUUCGUCUCAAGU
rnacentral:ncRNA from 1 species